UUCAGAGUAGUUCAGACUAGGGCUGGGCGAUGGGGAGAAAAUCAGAUAUCACGAUAUGCUUGACCAAAUAACUCGAUUGAUAUUGCAGCGAUAUUCUGGGGUUGACAAAUGCUGCUU